UACGACUACAUAUCAGGCAUAUCAAUAAGCGGAGGAAAAGAAACUAACAAGGAUUCCCUUAGUAACGGCGAGUGAAGCGGGAAGAGCUCAAAUUUGAAAUCUUCAAGGUUCUACCUUGACGAAUUGUAGUUUAAAGAAGUGUUUUCUGUUAGAUGAGUAGCAACAGUUCCUUGGAAUGGGACAUCAUAGAGGGUGAGAAUCCCGUAUUUGGUUAUUCAUUCUAGCUUUGUGAUACACUUUCAAAGAGUCGGAUUGUUUGGGAAUGCAGUCCAAAAUGGGUGGUAAAUUUCAUCUAAAGCUAAAUAUUGGCGAGAGACCGAUAGCGAACAAGUACCGUGAGGGAAAGAUGAAAAGAACUUUGAAAAGAGAGUUAAACAGUACGUGAAAUUGUCAAAAGGGAAGCGUUUGACACCAGUGUUGUUUUUCCGAAAAUCAAUUACGAAUGGCUUGAUUUUGUGUUGUAUUGACUUAUCAGCUUUCUUCACUUUUUUCGAGUCUUUCUUAAUGCACUUUUCGGUUAACAAGUCAACAUCAAUUUCUUUUGUUGUAAAAGAGUAUUCGGAAGGUGGCUUUCUUUUCGGAGAAAGUGUUUAUAGCCCUAUACUUCUACAAUCGGAGAGAUUGAGGUCUGCAGCGUAGAUCCUUCGGGGUUAGAUACACUUGUGCUAAGUUGUAGCUUUUCAUAGACAACUUGUUGACUAUGUUUAGUCAUGCGGCUUACUCGCUUGUGCUAUUUUACCUACGCUUAGGAUGUUGAGUAGCGACAUACGCAC
rnacentral:rRNA from 1 species